rnacentral:rRNA from 1 species
UACGAAGGGGGCUAGCGUUGCUCGGAAUUACUGGGCGUAAAGGGAGCGUAGGCGGGUCGUCAAGUUGGGGGUGAAAGCCCAGGGCUCAACCUUGGAACUGCCUUCAAAACUGACGAUCUAGAGUAUGGAAGAGGUAAGUGGAACUCCGAGUGUAGAGGUGAAAUUCGUAGAUAUUCGGAAGAACACCGGUGGCGAAGGCGGCCAUCUGGCUCGGUACUGACGCUCAGGUUCGAAAGCGUGGGGAGCAAACAGG